ACACACACACUUGGACACUACACACACAGCUGAGGAGUAACUUUCCUCUUCUCGCGGAGCACCCUAUCCCCUAUUAUCGGCAUCUGAUCUUCCUAGUUCGGAUCCCCGGAACACACGCCUUCUCCAGCCUGCAAUCUACACACGUGGGGAAGCGCGUCCAAGUGGUGCCAGGAGGCAGGAGGGAAGCGCAAAGGUUAAUGCACACCAAGUCCACGUCCUGAUGCAGCAGCACCUCAUCAAUGCGGCUAGUGUAGAAGGGGACACUCAUCUCCUUGGCCAGCUCC